GUGCUCACUUCAGCAGCACAUAUGCUAAAAUUGGAAUGAUACAGAGAAGAUUAGCAUGGCCUACACAAGGAUGACAUGCAAAUUUGUGAAGUAUUCCAUAUUUUU
ensembl:snRNA U6 U6 spliceosomal RNA